CUACGGGAUGCUCCAGUGAGGAAUUUUGCGCAAUGGGCGAAAGCCUGACGCAGCAACGCCGCGUGAGUGACGAAGGCCUUCGGGUCGUAAAGCUCUGUCAAGUGGGAAGAACCCGCUUGCGUGCAAUAAGCGCAAGCGCUGACGGUACCACUGAAGGAAGCACCGGCUAACUCCGUGCCAGCAGCCGCGGUAAUACGGAGGGUGCGAGCGUUAUUCGGAAUUAUUGGGCGUAAAGGGCGCGCAGGCGGCCCGUCAAGUCAGAUGUGAAAGCCCGGGGCUCAACCUCGGAAGUGCAUUUGAUACUGUAGGGCUUGAGUAUGGGAGAGGGAAGUGGAAUUCCUGGUGUAGAGGUGAAAUUCGUAGAUAUCAGGAGGAACACCGGUGGCGAAGGCGACUUCCUGGACCAAUACUGACGCUGAGGCGCGAAGGCGUGGGGAGCAAACAGGAUUAGAUACCCCCGUAGUC
rnacentral:rRNA from 1 species